rnacentral:lncRNA from 13 species
GGCAGGGAGAGGCCUCUGGGACUUUGAGCUUUAUGGUUAACCCUUCAGCCCUCACGGAGGCCAUUAAAGGGAGAGCGCUGGGCUUUGGAGACCUCUCUGAAAGACCCAGCUGGAGCCUCACUGGCGGUCGCCUAACCGCUUGGCCCUUCUGUAACCUGACUCUGCUGUUGGGAUGUAAGGAGUCACUGUCCGUCUCCUUCCCAUCCUCCCUCAGCCCCCCGAUCUGCCUCCUGAAAGGUCUCCCAUGGAUCAGAUUCUCCUGCCCUGCCUGGCCCAUGGAAUAGAAGAGUACUGAGAAGUAUUCUGGUUUUUUCCUUCCCUGCUGCCCAAGCAGGUGUGCAGUGCCUGAUGUUGACAUUGAAAGGGGACAUGGGAACAAAAAGGCUGUUCACUAACCCACUUACUGCUACGCAGUGAGCUAUGGGAGCCACGCAGCUUCAGGGUUGAGUCCAGGGACUCUCCUCCGUCCACUGCAUGGGGCUGAUUUGUGGCUCUGCCGAGUUCUUAAUCACCUUCUUUGGACUCCAAGAUGCAUUUUAAUGUCAGUUUUGAAGACUUCCAAACCCUGGAUGUGAAUUCUGCUCCAGGACUCCUCCCAGUAGAGCCCGCAGGGCUGAAAGCUGAGGCUGCUAGAGACGUCUUGACCAUUCACUUACUUAACAUACAUCUGCUGAGGUCCUACUAUAAGCUGAGCACUGGGAACAGCGGCAAAAUACAGACAUGAUCCCUGACGUCCCCAGGCUUAGAAGAAGAUGAACAUGUACAGAAAUGGAUGCCCAGAGAACAGUGAUUUGCCCCAAACCCCUCAGCUAGGGAGUUACGGAAUCGGAUUCCUGUCUUGCUCUGCUGGACUCCAGGUUCCAGAGUCUCUGCACACUUCCAGCCUCACAAGCUUUUCUUUGACUUGCCUUUCUUCCUCUCAUUUGUCCACAUCCUGCCAGCAGACUAGGGCGGGAAACAGGAAGCCGACUUCCCUGAGAGGAGCCUUCUCUGGUUCCAGAACUGUUUUGAUGCUGCUAGUUCCUGGCCAUCCGCAGCUUUACCCUGGAAGCAGGCAUGCUUCCCCUCUAGGGACAGGCCUGGGCAGUCAGCAGGCUCCAAUUCCAUAAUCAAUUAUUCAACACAAAUAAGAGUUGAAUUAAAAUUUCAUGACCCCAUUGCUUUUUACCCAAGCAUCUAUCUGAAAGUGAAGACAUUUGUUUGAGUUUAGCAGUUGAAUUGCUGAAAUCUUCGUCUGAAGCCUUUCAACUUCCAUAAAUCAUUUUGGAUCCCAAGAGAUCUUGUCAUUUCCACAGUGUUCAAAGUGGAGCAGGCCUCUCUGCAGACACAAUGCCCCAGGGGUGUCAGUUGAACAGGUCCCUCUUGGGAGCAGGGCUGGGGUUUCACCCAGUGUCUGCCGGCCAGAUGGUCACCACCUCUGGUUUUAGGAGGCAAUCGCUGACAUUUGCUCAGUGGGAUCAAUAGGAUGAUUCCAGAUAAACAACAGGCAGGAAGGAUUUAGAAGGUGGCCUGCAGCUUGAGGUCGUCCCUAGAGGUUACUGGAAACCACAUCUUUGUAGACAGGGCCAGUGGGAAGGAGAGAGGUGUAUGUGUUCCCUUGUCCUCUGACCCUUCUGGUUCCUUAAGGGCAGGUGGGUAACCUUGGGGCAGUGACUCAAAUCUCUCAGUGCCUCAGUUUCCCCACAUGGAAGGCAGAGCUGUUGAACCCUCCUGACAGGGUGGUUGUGAAGGCCACGGGAGUGGACCUAUGAGCAGCUCUCAGCUCAGUGCCUGGUAGCAGGUGCUCAAAUCCAUCACUGCCGGUGGCUCGAGUUGGGUCCACAGAUGGCUGUUGACUGGGGUGAGGUGUGAUGUUGUGCCCUGACUUCCAGCCCUCACUUGUCCUAUCUGAGGUGGCUCUGGGAACCCCUGAGCAGCAGGAGAGUGGGUCAACAUUGAAUGCCCAGAGGUGAGACUCAGAUAUGUGGGCAAGGGACCUUCCUGCCCAAACAGAAAAGAUGGCUUUAGGGCAGUCUCUGCCACUGCUGAUGGGAAGGGACACUCAGCAUUUGGAGAGGCAGAGGCAAGUGAGCGAUGUCCAGAAGGUCAGGUCAGGCAUUCCAGCAACAA